rnacentral:rRNA from 1 species
AGUGAACGCUGGCGGUAGGCCUAACACAUGCAAGUCGAACGGCAGCACAGUAAGAGCUUGCUCUUAAGGGUGGCGAGUGGCGGACGGGUGAGGAAUACAUCGGAUUCUACUUUUUCGUGGGGGAUAACGUAGGGAAACCUACGCUAAUACCGCAUACGACCUACGGGUGAAAGCAGGGGAUCUUCGCACCUUGCGCGAUUGAAUGAGCCGAUGUCGGAUUAGCUAGUUGGCGGGGUAAAGGCCCACCAAGGCGACGAUACGUAGCUGGUCUGAGAGGAUGAUCAGCCACACUGGAACUGAGACACGGUCCAGACUCCUACGGGAGGCAGCAGUAGGGAAUAUUGUACAAUGGGCGCAAGCCUGAUCCAGCCAUACCGCGUGGGUGAAGAAGGCCUUCGGGUUGUAAAGCCCUUUUGUUAGGGAAGAAAAGCAGCAGAUUAAUCCCCCGCUGUUCUGACGGCACCCAAAGAAUAAGCACCGGCUAACUUCGUG